CAGUAGCCGCGGUAAUACGUAGGGUGCAAGCGUUAAUCGGAAUUACUGGGCGUAAAGCGUGCGCAGGCGGUGUUGUAAGACUGAUGUGAAAUCCCCGGGCUCAACCUGGGAACUGCAUUGGUGACUGCAGCGCUGGAGUGCGGCAGAGGGGGAUGGAAUUCCGCGUGUAGCAGUGAAAUGCGUAGAUAUGCGGAGGAACACCGAUGGCGAAGGCAAUCCCCUGGGCCUGCACUGACGCUCAUGCACGAAAGCGUGGGGAGCAAACAGGAUUAGAGACCCCAGUAGUCCCUGUCUCUUAUAC
rnacentral:rRNA from 1 species